CGGCGUUUACAUGAGAUUAGUUGAGUAGGCUUGCGUUAGUUGUCUGCUAUAAGAUAGCUAGUUGUGGGGCUUUCGAAAAAAAAGUAAUAUCCAUCCAAUAAUAUAAAAAAAUGUGUGUAUCCUCCUCCCAGCUCAAGAAUAAUUUCGACUUUUUGAUAUGAAGUAAACAAUUUUACUAAUAUUAUUAAUUUAACUGGGUCCUAGAGAACUCUAGAGUGUAGAAAUGUUUCGUGCACACAGCAAAGAACAUCUGGGGGAAGCAUCCCACUUCCUCGGAGUACGGAUACACCCAAUAAAGUCAAAAAAUAGGAUACCUCGGAGUGCCAAAGGCAACUCCCCAUCUCCAGUCCACAA
rnacentral:lncRNA from 1 species